GUGCUCCAGUAGCGCGUAUACUAAAAUUGGAACGAUACAGAGAUGAUUGGCAGGGCCCCUGCGCAAGGACGCCACGCAUAUUCGUGAAGCGUUCCGUAUUUUU